GUCCCAUCCCCUCCCAUGUUCCCAUUGGCCAAUAGCGAUUUUGGGAUUUUGGGGGGAUUUUGGGUUAUAAACCCCAAACUUCCUCCCUUCCCAGGUUCCCAUUGGUCAGUAGCGAUUUUGGGAUUUUGGGGGGGAUUUUGGGGGGGAUUUUGGGGGGCUUAUUUUGGGUUAUAAAACCCCAAAACCUCCACCCUUCCCAGGUUCCCAUUGGCCAAUUGGGAUUUUGGGGGG
rnacentral:lncRNA from 1 species